AAAUAAAAUAUAUGUAUUGUAUCUAUCUACAACUAAAAAAAAAAAAAUAAGCCUGUCUGUCGGGAGCCAGUCCGGAAAUACACGCCCUUAAGUCCUGAGCAAGAGAUACUGAACAAUUAUUGCGCCCUGCAAUAACUUGGGCUUUACCUUCGCUCAGAUAAUGAGGUAUGGCUCCAGGAGUAGGCGUCACCAGGUGGGGUUGAGUUACACUCACCUGUUCCUUUGUAAUCCUACCCUUUUACUCUUUCUGGGAUAGAAUGUUCCAUGGAAACUCCCCUUGUGUGUCCCCUAUUUAAGAAUAAAGAAUGCCAGUGGCUCUCUUUCCACGAACCUCUAAGGUCCCAGAACUAUCCCCGGAUUUUGAAAAGGUACUUCUGUGUGUUUGUGUGCUUUCUUUGCCAUUUUCUUAAGUUAUUGGAAUAGUCAGAUUUUUUGAACCCAGCAUUAGGUCUCCAGCUAGGAUAGAUAGUGAUACCUGUCUAUGUCCAGUCAGCGUUUGAGGUUUCACUCAAACUGGGAGCUCCCGUUCCAAGAGAGCAAUCACAGCCUGCCUUUCUCCUCAUACAACUGAGCCCAAUCCUAUAGCUAUUAAUGUGUCCAGUCUCUUACUUAUCACAACCUGGGCUUUCAUUUACCCCUCUGUCAUCAUGGUUGUGUGUGGUGGGCUGUGUUUUUGUGUUACUGGGGACUGAAUUCAGGAAUGUGCCACCACUGAGCUACAUCUCCAUCCCUUUUUAUUUUAUUUUGAGACAGGGUUUCAGUAAGUUCCCCAGGCUGGCCUUGAACUUGCAAUGCUUCUGCCUCCUGAGUCACUGGGAUUACA
rnacentral:lncRNA from 1 species